UUGGUUUACGUCUUGUUUGCAAGUGUUAUAAAAAUAAAAUACAAUUUUGAUUGAGUUUCUAAUAUGUGAAUAGAUUAUAAUUCAUGUUUUAUUAUGUAAUUAUCAACUAUGGUUUGUAAAGUUAACUAUCCAAUUAGGAUACAACAUGAUAACGUCAUAGUUGCAAAUGUAGUCUCAAGGCUCUAUGGGAACAUUACAAACAUAAAAAAAAACAGCCUAAGAAGGCAGUAUCCAAGGAAAUUUUUAAAAGCUAAACGAAGUUCUAUAUCACAAGAGGAUUGACACCUAGGAAUAAGACGCCUGCUAGAUCUCCCACCGAAACUUACCUCGAUGGAAAUAAAGUAACAAUACUGCAUUAAAUAAAUCUAUGAAGACAUCAUUCCAAGUUGUUUAUAUUAUAUCCAUUUUAAGGCUAAUACUACUUUUAAAGUCUGGGUAUGUGUUUGUGUGCAUCUGUGUGCGCGGGUAUGGAGGUAGGUGUGUUAAAAGAAUUAGCCAAAUAAAAAUAUUUUUGAAAGUACUUUUUAAGUCUUAUUCAGUUCAAUGUUAAAUAGGCUUAUUAAAUCAAAUAUCUAGGCAUUUUACUUAAUUCUUAUAUAUAUAUAUAUACACAAUUAUAUUUUGAGUAUUGUUAAAAUUUCUUGAGCUUGCUUACAUAUUAACUUUUCGCCCUCCAUUUAUUUAGUAAGAUGUUCCACUGGGAGUGUGGGACGGUACAGUCAGAGCUAGAGCUUCAACUUGUUUCUCUCAAUAUAGAGAUAAAAGGUCGAAUGAUUUCGUACACUAAGGAAUAAUAAUACACAUAGUUUGUGUUAAACUAAAGUUUCUUUUUCAGACUCUGUCAUCGAUAGGUCUGAGGGUGUUAAGGUCAUCUGCUUCUUUAGCCAACAGUUAACGAGCAGGGUGUCAAGUGGCCAGCAUAAAAAAAAACGCCUUUACCAUCCCCAACUAAAGUCAGGUACCUACUAGAGUUGUGCGGACUCAGGGGGCACCCUAAAAAUCGCG